UUGAUUUAUUAUUAAGACUCAGACAAUAAAGUAAAGAGUUUGAAAUUCUUCGGCGGGAACACGCCCGCAAAGCCGACGGUCUGUUAAGAACGUCCCGCCGAAGCAACAGGUCAAUACACAAAGGGUGGGAGUUGAAUCUCUCGACUCUGAACUCAUUAAUGAUCCUUCCGCAGGUUCACCUACGGAAA
rnacentral:misc_RNA from 1 species